rnacentral:lncRNA from 1 species
AAAUGCAUUCUUUACCCUAUGUUGGAACAGAUUUUAAUUUUGAAAAUCUAAACUUCUCUAGAACUCAUUAUUAUUAGAUAAUAUUAAUAUACUAUUUAUUAUUAGGUAAUAUUAGUUAUAACAUCUAGUUCACCCCACUUAAAACUCCACUUCUCCCCAACUCUCUAUCCCAGGGUCUUGGCUUUAUUUUUUCCUCCAUGAAUUUAGCACCGUUUUGUAAGACUACAUAUAUUAUUUAUUCCUUGGCUUACUGCCUAUGUCUCCCCAUCAGGACAUAAGUUCCUCAGGCAGAGGUGGAGAAGAGGUUUCUCGUUUCUCUGGUUGCUCACCCUGUAUCUCUAGCACCUACCAUAAUACCUGGCUGCUAAGAAGCACUCCAGCACUCAAUAAAUAUUUGUUGAACAAAUGAAUGUGUUACUUUGUUAUGAUAUUUAUGGAAUAAGCCGUUGUAUCUAUUCAUUCCCGUCCCACCUUAUGGUAUCUGCAACAGGAGAGUGCCCAUCAAUUACAAGUCUAUUUAGCAUUUAUAUGGCACUUUAUAUUUAAAAUACACUGUUCAGUUAUUAUCCCCACAAUCGACCUUGAGAAGAUAUACUCAAAAGUAGAGAUGUCCACAGCUCUUCUCCUUCCUAGACCUCCACAACAGAUGUGAGGCAUGGGGUGAGAGGGAGGAGCAAGUUCAAGGAUGCGGGAGAAGAGGGGAGGGAAGAGGAGACAAGGUGCAUAGAACCCCUGUUGUUGAAACUCCAUUCCCUGGCUUACCUUUGCCUCCUUAGAAGUGGUGGCCCAGAGCCAGAGAUCCUCCCCUCCAGCUGCUGCAGGUGAGUUCAGCAUCCCCGCAGAGGAGGAGGAGAAAAAUGAAGCCCCAGGAGCCUAGAGAGGAGGUGAGGCGUGAGAGGAGGAGGGACUCCCAGCAACCAUCUCCCAGCAAGGGUCUUCAAUUGUGGCCUCCGAGCUCUCCACCUUCUUUACAGGUGGCAACCAGACAAAUUCCUUUCCACACCACUUCUCAGCUUGCCUGGAGCUCCACUCUCUGCCACCACAAGCCAGAGUCACUAAGCAUGAAGCCCAGUGCCCUCACCCAGCCUUCUGAUCUACCCUACCCACCUCAGCCACAGGACUUAGCCUCAGGUGGGAAGACCAAUGAGCCACACUGCAUAUGGCCCAACAGUGAUAAAAACAAAAACAAAAAACAGAUGUUAACCUAAGAGCUUGUAUGUCCUGCUUCACGUACAAAUACCUCAACCCUGUGGCCUUUAGGAAGAGCUUGGCCUGAAUGUGGCAUCAAGUGGAUGCUCUUCUGUUGCCGGGACUAAACAUACUAAACAAAGACCUGUCUAAGUCCCCUACUUUAGUGCUAUGGUACCUUAAAUCUCAGCCUCGAACUUACCAACUCCUUCCCCAGCUCAGCAAUAAGAAUGAGCAAAUCAUCAGGAAAAUCAGCAGAAAAGAAGGUCCAGGUGUUGGCAGCCACUAGGCAUUCUCAGACAAGGCAAGAAACACAGCAAUAAGCAGAUCAUUUUCAUAAACUUGGUACAAUAAUAUUGGCUGUUUCUGGAAAAUCCCUUACACACAAGGCGCAAAAAAGCUAUUCUUUGUGUAAAGGGAACUAACACCUAAGAAGCACACAGAACAUCUCCAGUGUGCCCAGCACUAUACAAGCUCUAUACAGAAACCGUCUUACUUAAACUUCUCAAUUACCCUAGGAGAUAUGUGUCAUAUCUCUGUUCAUUAAAAGAGGGAAAUUGAAAAAGGCUCAUAAAUGUCUAAUAACUUGCUUAAGUUCCCACAGUUAAAAAGUGGAAGAGUCAGGUCUAAAAACUAGGCCUCCCAACUUUCAAGCCCAAGCACUCUGUCUGGUCAUUGUAUAGAAAAAGUUUACUUUUUUUUUUUUGUAAUUUCCCACUGAAUAUUUGAACUUUUCUUGUUUUAGGGCCUAAGGGAGAAAGCAUUUAAGAUAUUUUAAUCUUUCUUUAGUGUUACUCUGACAUCACACAUCUUGGACGGCCCCAGGGAGAUUACUGCAAACAUUAUUUAUUAUAAUACUGCUUGAUCUCUGGGUAUUUAUUGAACGUCUAUUGAUUGUUAAUAGGGAUUCCUACUUGACAAGAGCAGUAAGAGGGCCAACUUUCUUUUUCAAUUGUUUUGUGUAUUGACUUCAUUAUUUGAGGCCUUCGUCUUAUCUUUAUGAACAUUCACCAGACAUAUUUGAAUCAAAGACAUGUUCAUUCCACUGGCAUUUCUAAUCUUCAGUGGGUCAUACAUUAUGUACACAUCAGCUCAGCUAGUAAAUACAUUUAAAAAGAUAGGUUUGACACACAUAAAUUCACAUUGCAUGAUACUUCAUGCAAGAAACUUCCAAGCAGCUAACUUGCUAUCAGACCAUUAAUAAAAAUGUUGUAGAAACUGCUUCUAAAGGGUGGCAAUUAGCUACAAUGAUUAGACAAAACAUGGUUUCACAUUAAAUUAAAUUGAUAUUUAAAUGUAAUUGUUUUUAGCUCUGUGGUGUCAAGGUACUACAUAAAUCCAUUAUUACUACUAUUUAAAGCAAUAGUAACAACCACAAUAACUCAACCAAAUUUUCCGAGAUUGUAAUUUGCUGUGCCCCAAUGAAGUUAAUUGCAUACUUGGGAGGGGGGUUAACUCUUUCAAGCCACUUGGGAUAGUUUAAUGACAGUUUUUGAAAGAGUUAAUUGCCUUCCAAAAUGUCUCCCAGUGGAGAGAGUUCAUAUACAUAUACAGUAUAGCUCUAAAGAAACAUAUUAAUUUACACUUAGCUAGAUUAACUCUG